CUGUGAGGACUGCCAGAACGCUGUCACCUCUCAAAAUGACGUAGAGUUUGCAGAUAACCUACUCACAUCCUCCCGUAUGCUAUGUAAAUAGUUGUUAUGUGGUAUUGUUUAGGGAAUAAUGACAAAGAAAAAAGUCCAUAUAUGUACAGUGCAAACACAAUAAUAAGUUUUCAAAAAAUAUUUUGGAGUCAGGCCUGGUUGAAUCCAUGGAUGCAGAACCUACAGAUAUGGAGGAUCAAAUGUAAUAUGUUUAAUUCAGGAAUUGCGAAAAGCCUUGCAGCAGCUACAAGAAUUGCAGAAUAAGAGCCAACAGCUUCGUGCCUGGGAGGCUGAAAAAUACAAUGAGAUUCGAACCCAGGAACAAAACGUCCAGCACCUAAACCAUAGUCUGAGUCACAAGGAGCAGUUGCUUCAGGAAUUUCGGGAGCUCCUACAGUAUCGAGAUAACUCAGACAAAACCCUUGAAGCAAAUGAAACGUUGCUUGAGAAACUUCGCCAGCGAAUACAUGAUAAAGCUGUUGCUCUGGAGAGCACUCCCAGGAGAUGGAAAGCCUGAGGGAGGCUCUGCUGUCCUCUCGAUCCCACCUUCAAGAGCUGGAAGAGGAGCUGGAGCACCAGAAGGUGGAAAGGCAGCAGCUUUUGGAAGACUUGAGGGAGAAGCAGCAAGAGGUCUUGCAUUUCAGGGAGGAACGCCUUUCCCUCCAGGAAAACGACUCCAGCUUACAGCCUGGAUGUCUGUCACCAAAUCCCUUUGAGCAGUGACUUGAGCCACCUGGUGGCAGAGGUACGAGGUCUGAGAGGGCAGCUGGAGAACAGCAUUCAGGGGAACAAUUGUCUGUGACUGCAGCUGCAACAGCAGCUGGAUAGCCUGCUGGCAAAGCCAGCCUCAGCCCCUCCUCUGUUAACCAGAACUUCCCAGCCAGCGCUGACCCUGGAAACAAGCAGCUGCUCCUCCAAGAUUCAGCUGUGUCCCCUCCAGUCCGGGAUGUUGGUAUGAAUUCCCCAGCUCUGGUCCUCCCCAGCUCUGCUUCCUCUACUCCUGGCUCAGAAACGGCCAUAAUCAACAGAACACAUGGUGCUAGGCAGCAAAGGCAUUCAUGAGCUUCGGAGCAGCACCAGUGCCCUGCACCAUGCCCUAGAGGAGUCGGCUUCCCUCCUCACCAUGUUCUGGAGAGUGGCCCUGCCAAGCACCCACAUCCCUGUGCUGCCUGGCAAAGUGGGAGAAUCAACAGAAAGGGAACUUCUGGAACUGAGAACCAAAGUAUCCAAACAGGAGCGGCUACUUCAGAGCACAGCUGAGCAUCUGAAGAACGCCAACCAGCAGAAGGAGAGCAUGGAGCAGUUCAUCGUCAGCCAGCUAACCAGAACACAUGAUGUUUUAAAGAAGGCGAGGACUAACUUAGAGAGCAGCACUUACAGGAUUGCCUGUGUAAAGCCUUAUUCCUGUCCCAGAAAAGGUGAAAUCCCUAAGGGCUCUGCUGUGUACUCCAGCCUUGUGACCCUUGCUUUCCAGGAACCAUGCAAGAAGCGCAGCCACCAGAAGUCCUUAUAUAGGAUUUGAGUUUGAUGUCUUGCAUACAAUGUGAUCCCACUGUAUGACUACACAAAUGUUGGCAAAAGUGAGUUCAGAGGAAAUGGUAGGCAAGUACUUCCCAGUUUUGGCCAGAAGAUGGAGAAAAAAAUAAUUCUCAAAAAAUGUUAAAGGUAUGACCUGUUAUAUUUUCUUUUCACAGUAAUUUAGACAGAAAUUAGCAAAAUCAAAAAUGUAUAAAUACUUUGGUCUGACAAUUCCAUCUCCAGGUGUCUACAGAGAAAUAGACAAGCGAUGCACGACAGAUACAUGUGUCAGUCUGGUCCCUGCAGUUGUAUUUGUAAUAAUACACAUUGGAGCAAUUUCAUGGCCAUCAGUUAGAGAAUGUUUGAGGAAUGAUCCAUUCAUAUCAAGAAGGACAUUUCAAAGAUCAAAGCGUGAUGGAAAUGCUGGAGACCAUGGCACUGAUAGGAGCUCAUGCGUGUUGACCAAUUACUACGUGACAGGCAUUGGCUCCAUGCUUUUCCUGCACGGCUCAUUUAAACACUGGACAACCUAAGUGUUCUGAUUUAGCCCAUUGGACAGAUAGAAAUGGAGGCACAGAAGAUUAAUGUGUUUAACUUCAAACCCUGGCAGAUUAGGUUUUUCAUCCAGAGCCUGUGGCUUCACCAUAGCUGUGAUUCACGUUCUGUCAUUCUCCACUUUAGGAAUUUCCAGUAUUCCAAAUAUGAGAAGCUGAGAAAACAAACAACAAACUCAAAACCCUAAAAACCAGGAUACGUAAGGGUAGAUGUUUGUUGGGUGUGGAUUAAAAAUGGACUUUUUUUGCCCCAAGCAACAAAGAGGCAUCUUAGAAAAUAGACAAGAGACAAGAAGAAGAGAAGCUUUAAGAGAUAUUUGGUCCAAGGAAGAGACUAUUCAGAUGGAAGGUCACAUCAGCUAGAAACAUUAAUAUGACUGGAUGGGCUCAAACCACUGACUUUUCAGUCAACAUCCGACAGCACUAACCCAGUGUUCCAGAGACACUGCUUGUUAAACAGUGAAAGCUGUUGCUCAAUUGUGUCAUCCGUAAUUGUCAAAUAUUGCCAUUUAGUAGCACAAGGAAGUAUUCUCCGUUGCCAAGCUAGAGUACCCAUAACUCUUCUGUUUUGUUGAACAUUCUUCCCCACCACAAACCCUCUUUAGAAGACUGGGGGCUCCUAAAGCAUUGAGGCCGAGAGUCCCGUCCUUGUGCAUGUUUGGGCAUUGACCCACGGCCAAGUCAGUGGGAGACUCCUCCACGCCUACGCCAGGUCCCCAGGUGACAACUGCAGUCUCUGGAUCUGAAGUCAUCCACUUUCCCAUUCCUAGCUCACCUCACCCAUCGUGAAGCCUGGUUAGUAUUGCCAGAGACCCGAGUGGGCAGAUGCCCACACCAAAGACAGAACCUGCUGUGUGCCCACCUUGCUGAUCCCUCCAUCCUUCUAGACAAAGGCUUCAUAAGCCAGGGACCUUGGGUUUGCUCACAAGGCAGCCCCUCACCUAGUAGGCAUUAGUUCAUUAUGUAUAUGUAUAUGUAGUCCUCAGGUUGUAUUCCUUAAAUAUAU